GCGUCUCUGACGGAAGCCGGGGCGGACGGUCGGAGUCCGGAAGAAAAACAGUCCGCGACAGCUAGGCGCGUGAGACCGGCCGCCCGCAGGGCUGCUCUGGCCGGGACCCGCUGGCCGGGAGACGCGAACCUGCCGGACCACCGCGCGGGGACGACGGCGGCCAUGAGCUCGCGGAAGCUGAGCGGGCCGAAAGGCAGGAGGCUCAGAUCUCCAGCUGCUGCAGGUACUCCUCAUCGUGUGCCUAGGACUCAUGCUAGGCUGUUCCUGGUCUCUGCAGGGUCUGUAGCUCCUGCCCGCUCUGUGCUCCGCACAGUCUGAGGCUUCUUGAAGAGCUGCUGUGACUGACUGUUCCACUAAAGACAUCUCAUACACGUCGUGACUUGGAACGUGGCUUCGGCAGCGCCCCCUCUAGAUCUCAGUGACCUGCUUCAGCUGAACAACCGGAACCUCAAUCUUGACAUAUAUGUUAUUGGAAUGCUUGGCCGGGCGCGGUGGCUCACGCCUACAAUCCCAGCACUUUGAGAGGCCAAGGCAGGCAGAUCACCUGAGGUCGAGAGUUCAAGACC
rnacentral:lncRNA from 1 species